AUUGAACGCUGGCGGCAGGCCUAACACAUGCAAGUCGGACGGUAGCACAGAGGAGCUUGCUCCUCGGGUGACGAGUGGCGGACGGGUGAGUAAUGUCUGGGGAUCUGCCCGAGAGAGGGGGAUAACCACUGGAAACGGUGGCUAAUACCGCAUAACGUCGCAAGACCAAAGAGGGGGACCUUCGGGCCUCCCACUAUCGGAUGAACCCAGAUGGGAUUAGCUAGUAGGCGAGGUAACGGCCCACCUAGGCGACGAUCCCUAGCUGGUCUGAGAGGAUGACCAGCAACACUGGAACUGAGACACGGUCCAGACUCCUACGGGAGGCAGCAGUGGGGAAUAUUGCACAAUGGGCGCAAGCCUGAUGCAGCCAUGCCGCGUGUAUGAAGAAGGCCUUCGGGUUGUAAAGUACUUUCAGCGGGGAGGAAGGCGAUGUGGUUAAUAACCGCGUCGAUUGACGUUACCCGCAGAAGAAGCACCGGCUAACUCCGUGCCAGCCGCCGCAGUAA
rnacentral:rRNA from 1 species